GAUGAAGAACGUAGCGAAAUGCGAUAAGUAAUGUGAAUUGCAGAAUUCAGUGAAUCAUCGAAUCUUUGAACGCACAUUGCGCCCCUUGGUAUUCCGAGGGGCAUGCCUGUUCGAGCGUCAUUUCACCCUUCAAGCUCCGGCUUGGUAUUGGGCGUCAUCUUUUUCUUAGUAAAGAGAUGUGCCUGAAACUCAUAGGCGGUUGAGUCCAACUCCCUAGCGUAGUCAUUAUUUUCUCGCUUUGGAAAGUUAGGCACAACCCGCCGAGUAAAAACCAUAUUUUACUAGAUUUUGACCUCGGAUCAGGUAGGGAUACCCGCUGAACUUAAGCAUAUCAAUAAGCCGGAGGA
rnacentral:misc_RNA from 1 species